GACGAACGCUGGCGGCGUGCUUAACACAUGCAAGUCGAACGGUAAGGCCCUUCGGGGUACACGAGUGGCGAACGGGUGAGUAACACGUGGGUGAUCUACCCUGCACUUCGGGAUAAGCCUGGGAAACUGGGUCUAAUACCGGAUAGGACCACUGCCUGCAUGGGUGGUGGUGGAAAGCUUUUGCGGUGUGGGAGGGGCCCGCGGCCUAUCAGCUUGUUGGUGGGGUGAUGGCCUACCAAGGCGACGACAGGUAGCCGGCCUGAGAGGGUGACCGGCCACACUGGGACUGAGAUACGGCCCAGACUCCUACGGGAGGCAGCAGUGGGGAAUAUUGCACAAUGGGCGCAAGCCUGAUGCAGCGACGCCGCGUGAGGGAUGACGGCCUUCGGGUUGUAAACCUCUUUCAGCACCGACGAAGCGCAAGUGACGGUAGGUGCAGAAGAAGGACCGGCCAAUUACGUGCCAGCCGCCGCCGUAA
rnacentral:rRNA from 1 species